rnacentral:rRNA from 1 species
GACGAACGCUGGCGGCGUGCUUAACACAUGCAAGUCGAACGAAGAGCGACGGAAGCUUGCUUCUAUCAAUCUUAGUGGCGAACGGGUGAGUAACGCGUAAUCAACCUGCCCUUCAGAGGGGGACAACAGUUGGAAACGACUGCUAAUACCGCAUACGAUCUAAUCUCGGCAUCGAGGAUAGAUGAAAGGUGGCCUCUACAUGUAAGCUAUCACUGAAGGAGGGGAUUGCGUCUGAUUAGCUAGUUGGAGGGGUAACGGCCCACCAAGGCGAUGAUCAGUAGCCGGUCUGAGAGGAUGAACGGCCACAUUGGGACUGAGACACGGCCCAGACUCCUACGGGAGGCAGCAGUGGGGAAUCUUCCGCAAUGGACGAAAGUCUGACGGAGCAACGCCGCGUGAGUGAUGACGGCCUUCGGGUUGUAAAGUUCUGUUAAUCGGGACGAAAGGCCUUCUUGCGAAUAGUGAGAAGGAUUGACGGUACCGGAAUAGAAAGCCACG